AGCGAACGCUGGCGGCAGGCCUAACACAUGCAAGUCGAACGGACCCUUCGGGGUUAGUGGCGGACGGGUGAGUAACACGUGGGAACGUGCCUUUAGGCUCGGAAUAGCUCCUGGAAACGGGUGGUAAUGCCGAAUGUGCCCUUCGGGGGAAAGAUUUAUCGCCUUUAGAGCGGCCCGCGUCUGAUUAGCUAGUUGGUGAGGUAAUGGCUCACCAAGGCGACGAUCAGUAGCUGGUCUGAGAGGAUGACCAGCCACAUUGGGACUGAGACACGGCCCAAACUCCUACGGGAGGCAGCAGUGGGGAAUCUUGCGCAAUGGGCGAAAGCCUGACGCAGCCAUGCCGCGUGAAUGAUGAAGGUCUUAGGAUUGUAAAAUUCUUUCACCGGGGACGAUAAUGACGGUACCCGCAGAAUAAGCACCGGCUAACUCUGUGCCAGCCGCCGCCGUAAGAC
rnacentral:rRNA from 1 species